rnacentral:lncRNA from 1 species
CUUCUUCAGUGCAUAAGAGCUGUCAAUGGUGCCCAUUGCUUAAGAUGUUGACCUGGGACUCUAGUUCAGGGUCUUUCGUUGGCCAUGUCUGAAGGGGCUGGAUGCCGAAGGAGAGAGACGACUUUGCUUUCCAUAGAAUGGUUUGUGCUAUCUGACUCCCACAAGGCACCUUCGUUAACGGGUCCAUCAGUGGGCCUGGAGGCUGGGCAGCUGUCCUGAAACAGAAGAGUUGGGAAAGGCACUAAGAGACAG